ACUGUCGAAAAACCACGCGGUAGCCAGGUGUCUGCAAAUUGUAAAUACACCACCGCUGCAGUGCUUCAGAAAGCUUGUCUGCAGAAGCAGGAAGUCCCCAGAUGGAGGCGCUGUGUAAGCAUGAGUUUGGUUUUGUUUGUUUUUGUUUCUAUGCACCAGAUUUGGUGUAUAUUAGUGCAUUACUACUGCCAGUCUUACAUACUGCUACCUUUCUGCAAUCAAAUGAGUUCAUUUGAUUGCGUAGCAGUAUGUGGGACUGUCAGUAGUAAUGCACUAACAGAGAGUGGGGCCCCUGUCAAAUUUUUUUUUUUUUUUUUGCCUUCAGAAAAUUUUGAUUUUGAAAAAAAAUAUUAUAACCCCCAUGUUGUAUUCUGGGAAAUUCCGGGGGGCCAGAUUGCCUGCCCGUCCACUCACACCACACACACACCUCCCCCACCCUUGGGGACCACCAACGUUGCUCAGGUGCGGUCUCGGGGAAUCGAACCAUCAACCUCUACCUCCUGAGGAUCGGUCCAGCCCCCUACGCCACAUACUCCUUCGCAUUUAUCGCUCAUUUUUUUUGCGCAUUUAAACAGAACAAUGGACCAAAGCUGCACAAACUGAAAGGGGAGAGCGGGGAUUGAACCCCAGACCUCGGUGUUGGGAGACGAGGACCAUUCCUCUGCGCCACCGUAACUUUGACGUUUUUUUUUUUUUUUCGUUCUUGCAGUGAAGUCUGUAAGUCGGGACCUCAGAACUGGAAAACAAGUGGCGAGACCGGGGCUUGAACCCAGAACCUUAUGAUUCCAAGCCCAUGACAAUACCACCACACCACCAUGGUAUUCACGCUCUGCCCAUUGGAGCAACAGUGCAUAGAAGAUAAACCUACAGCACUGUAAGAGAAGUAAAGAUAAAGAAUGGGGUUUGAACCCUGAAGCUUUGCGUCCGUAGGCAAGGCUACUACCUUCGCCCCACCUUCCCUUCGGUGGGUUUGCCGUCUCUGCAGUAGACAGAAGAUGGUGACAUCACAGAAACACAAGAGAACUAAAGGUAAUGAACGGGACUUGAACCCUCAACCUUUCGGCCCGGAGGCAAACACAGUACCUCUGCACCACCGAGGAACGGACAUGUUUGCUGGUGACAUGUGGAUAGAAGAUGAUGAGAUCACCAAAACUCACAAUGAAUAAAGAUGAGCGAGGUUCGAACUCUUUACCGUUCCAACCAGAGGCAAAGCCAGUACCGUUACGCCACGGUGUCCUGAGCAUGUGGCUGUUGAUGCGGUGCAUAGAAGGUGAUGAGACAACAGAAACAAAGGAGAAAUAAAGAUGAAGAACGAGGCUUGAACCCUCGACGCUGCGGUCCCCAGACGGCAACUCUACCGUUAAGCCACGGUGGCCGUGGCUGUUUCGGUGGGCGAUUAUAGUGGAUUUAAGAUUAUGAGACAGAACUCAAACUCCAGAUUUACCAGGAUUUUUCAGACGCUCAUAAUCCACAGUAUUUUGCAUAACCUCUUUUUUUUUUGUAACGUAGUGACCUGUUAUACCUCAGAUACAGAAGUGGUGUACGUUACUGCAGUAAUACAGGCUAAGACUAAUUUUGCGCUUGGACACCUGGGAUUUGAACCCCUGACCUACGGGUUACAAGUCCAGUUCCUUAACCAUUACACUAAACUACAGUAAGCUCAAUACUGCUGAGCGUGAUGCAUUAAGUACUGCACUGCUGCUACAGUGAGCUCAAUGCUUGAUGGCUUAAUGCUUAUUGGCUGAUGCAGUGGACAGAAGGUCAGAAAUACAAAAGGAAGUGUUGUGUGAACCCACAAGCUCUGUAUACAGCGUUUUAUAUUUUAUUUUUAAAUGUUUAGAAAUGUUAAACAAAUGUAUAUUUUUGUAAAAGGUGGCAAAACAUAAACCCAAAGCUGAAUAUAUAGAAGCUACUUUGUGAAAGCUUUUGUCUCAUUGAUGGAAUUCCUUUGCAUUUGUGAGUUGUGAUUUUAACUGGUGAUUCAAAGUGUCUCCAAUAAGAGCACCUAAUUACUGGUUAAAGAAGUAAUAGCUUACAGGUGUGACUGAAGGUGAUUAGUUGGUUAAAAAAAUGUUUUCCCUUUGUAUGUAUACCUUCACAGCAAUCAAAUGAGAUAGUCCGUGUUGCCGUUACUGCACAUCAGAGAAUGCUAAUUUUCUCUGCUUGCGUAAGGCAUACUGUCCAGUGAACAGUUUCAGUGUGUGUUGGGUUGCUGGGGUUUUAAGUGCACAGUACUCAGUGUGCAUUUCGGAACUGUAUUCUUCCAUUAAACUGCAGCUUUGAAAGUUGAACUUGAGCUGUCGUUGCGCAAUAAAAUGACCAUGCAAUAAUAACAGUUUCAGUCGACCUUUCUUAGCCCAUGAGUGCAAAUUGUGCGCAACAUUAAAAAUCCACAUACAUUUGACCCUACAGAGCGCUGCUGUAUUUUAAUUCGGCUUGCGCUGCUGUAAAGCGAGUGAAAUGUUUGUGCGUGUGUGCGUAUUUCAGUCCUGGCUUAGAACUGGUAUGGCUAUUGAACGCAAAUGUUGCAUGUACUCCGUUGAUAAGUGUUUCCUGUACUCCUUGGAUAGUUUUUUUUCAUUUGCUACGCUGAAGAAGCGAAAACUAAUCGUAAUCCUCAACAAUGAAUUUUAAUUGCACAAUUAACGUAAUUUAACAAUUGCACCGACGCUCCCCACAUCGCUUUGCCUCUUGCUCUCCGUCAAGAGGAGACAACAUCCGGUUCACUGCGUCUUGUGACCUCACAUGCGAAGUUUAAAGAAGGCCGAAAGAAAUUAUACGCGCCCGUGCAGUGCUUUUCUGUGCUGUAAUGGCGAUUAACUGCAGAUACGCCAUUACGCUUUGGUUACCGGCUACUCUGUUGCAGGUGCAUUUUAUGUCCACAAGAGGGAGACAAAUAUAUUGACUGUAGUGGCCUAGGAUUCCGCCAAUUAAUUCCUUAACCAGCUUUCCAACCCGUUUUAAACAGACCUCGGUCAAAGCCAUCGAUAAUGCAAAAUUGGAAUAAUUUUGACAAAAUAAUAAAAAAAAAUGAUGUCCUCCCAUUGUAAUAUAAUGGUGUAAAACCCUGAAGCACAACUGAACUGUGCAUAUUGAAAUAGGAAAUAAUAAUAAUCAAGAUGUGUGCAUUGAAUGACAGUGUAUAGCUUCUCAGAGUCACAAAAAGUUGCGAAUUUGAUCCAAGGUACUGUACAUUUUCUGUGCAAGUUUGAAGUUUGCAUCUUCGACAAAACCGCACAUAACCUGGGGAGUGUGUGUGUCUGUGUUUCAGUCCUGGUACAAAAUGGAAAUGUUGUUACCUAUGCUCCCUUAUUCUCCCAAAAUGAGCACAAAGAGAAGGAUGUCAAAUUUAACCGAACAUCUUAACAUAUAUGACAUUUUGCAAAAGUAUUGGCUUUAUUUACGAAAGGCAUUUGCAUUUAUGAUUACUAGACUUGGAGCAACGGACAAUUCAAAGUGUAAACCUGACCAGAAGCCCUGAUUAAUUGGUUAAAUAUGUUAAAAAAUAAAAUAAAUAAAAAACAGGGCUCUCUGUAAAUACACUGUGGUUAUUUUUUUUUUCAUUUUGAUAUAUAAUUCUGUGUGUUUUUGAUUUUGAUAUUUGCGACUGCCAUUACAUUUCAGCCUUGAAAGUUGUGUUAUUUGAAUUGUGUUGUCAUUGGUCAAUAAAAUAAGACACA